AGAGUUUGAUCCUGGCUCAGAUUGAACGCUGGCGGCAGGCCUAACACAUGCAAGUCGAGCGGUAACACAGGGAGCUUGCUCCUGGGUGACGAGCGGCGGACGGGUGAGUAAUGUAUGGGGAUCUGCCUGAUGGCGGGGGAUAACUACUGGAAACGGUAGCUAAUACCGCAUAAUGUCUGCGGACCAAAGCGGGGGACCUCCGGGCCUCGCGCCAUCAGAUGAACCCAUAUGGGAUUAGCUAGUUGGUGAGGUAAUGGCUCACCAAGGCGACGAUCCCUAGCUGGUCUGAGAGGAUGAUCAGCCACACUGGAACUGAGACACGGUCCAGACUCCUACGGGAGGCAGCAGUGGGGAAUAUUGCACAAUGGGGGAAACCCUGAUGCAGCCAUGCCGCGUGUGUGAAGAAGGCCUUCGGGUUGUAAAGCACUUUCAGCGAGGAGGAGAGGUUGAUGCUAAUAUCAUCAGCGAUUGACGUUACUCGCAGAAGAAGCACCGGCUAACUCCGUGCCAGCAGCCGCGGUAAUUC
rnacentral:rRNA from 1 species